UACGGAGGGAGCUAGCGUUGUUCGGAAUUACUGGGCGUAAAGCGCACGUAGGCGGCUUUGUAAGUUAGAGGUGAAAGCCCGGAGCUCAACUCCGGAAUUGCCUUUAAAACUGCAUCGCUUGAAUCCGGGAGAGGUGAGUGGAAUUCCGAGUGUAGAGGUGAAAUUCGUAGAUAUUCGGAAGAACACCAGUGGCGAAGGCGGCUCACUGGACCGGUAUUGACGCUGAGGUGCGAAAGCGUAGGGAGCAAACAGG
rnacentral:rRNA from 1 species